UCCGUUACGUACCUGCGGAAGGAUCAUUACCUAGAGUUGUAGGCUUUGCCUGCUAUCUCUUACCCAUGUCUUUUAAGUACCUUACGUUUCCUCGGCGGGUCCGCCCGCCGAUUGGACAAUUUAAACCAUUUGCAGUUGCAAUCAGCGUCUGAAAAAACUUAAUAGUUACAACUUUCAACAACGGAUCUCUUGGUUCUGGCAUCGAUGAAGAACGCAGCGAAAUGCGAUAAGUAGUGUGAAUUGCAGAAUUCAGUGAAUCAUCGAAUCUUUGAACGCACAUUGCGCCCCUUGGUAUUCCAUGGGGCAUGCCUGUUCGAGCGUCAUUUGUACCUUCAAGCUCUGCUUGGUGUUGGGUGUUUGUCUCGCCUCUGCGUGUAGACUCGCCUCAAAACAAUUGGCAGCCGGCGUAUUGAUUUCGGAGCGCAGUACAUCUCGCGCUUUGCACUCAUAACGACGACGUCCAAAAGUACAUUUUUACACUCUUGACCUCGGAUCAGGUAGGGAUACCCGCUGAACUUAAGCAUAUCAAAGCCGGGAGGAAAC
rnacentral:rRNA from 1 species